rnacentral:lncRNA from 1 species
GAACCAACCAACUGCUUAAAAAUAUUUCAUGCAUAAGGCAAGCAUUUUAUCUGAAUCCCUAGACUGCAAAGAGCAUCAAUGUUUAUUCCUUUUACUCAUAGCUGCUGGUUGAAAAGUUGGAAGGCCUUGGUUUCUUAGACCAAUAACUGAGAGAGGCAGCAGGCUGACCCUGAGAGAUGGAGAUCACUCUGUACCUGAGUCUCUUGAAGCUGACCUGGGUUUGAUGGAGUCACCACAAGAGAGGCUGGUAUGGGAAAACACCCGGAGCAUCCGCAGCCAGUCAGUCAUCAUUGCAUGCCUUAGAAUAUUCUGGAAAGAAGAAACCAGAGUUAC